GUGCUUGCUUUAGCAGCACAUAUACUAAAACUGAAAUGAUACAGAGAAGAGUCACAUGGCCCCUGCUCAAGGAUGAUAUGCAAAUUCGUGAAGUCCAUAUUUUU
ensembl:snRNA U6 U6 spliceosomal RNA